CACUUGGCAUGUAAGAAAGGAAUAUAGCAAGAACUUGAGGAAGCGCAAGUUUUACAACGACAAUUGACAUCACCCUUGUCGGAAGGGUAAUUCUUCUAAAUAGCUUUUAAAAGAGGCGAGAUGCCAUUUCAGCCACAAGACGGCCACGAGAAAAACGAAACGUG